UCCAAGAAGGCUGGGUAUGGUGAUUGGAGCCUGGGAUCCCAGCAAUCAGGAGGCGGAGUCCGGAGGUCCCCUGAGUUCUUAUCCAACUUGAGCAACACCUGUCUCAAGCAAACAAUCAAGUGCCCUAGAUGGAAACAGGCAUUUCUGCAGUUGUCUGCAUAAACCAAACACAGUGCUCCGAAAGGGAGUACUACAUGGCAGAAGAGGAAAGAAUUACUGAUCAACACAGCAACACAUGCAAGUCUCAGACUACCUCGGCCAAGUAAAAGAAGUCAGAUUCUGAGUUGGCUCCCAUGAAUUGUUUUGCUGUAGAACAUUUUCCUCCUGGCUGGAGUUCUGUUGGGCUGGAAUUUCUAGCUCACUGAAUGUGCACAUCUUUGGCUUUAAUGUUGAUGAAUGUUUUCAAGAGUUGUACUACAAGAGUAUGAGCGUUCACAGUGCUUUGGGUUCUGUGUCAACACACGCAACCGGUGAAACAUGAAAAGGUUGGCCAGGAAGGUUGGUCAAAAACAAGAUAAAGAGAUAAUGUUCAUCUUCUCAACUCUGAACUGGAUGUCUGAGCUGAUGUCGUAAAGCGAGAGAAUGAAUACAAGGUAUAAACACUGGAAAAGAAGAAAUGCUAUGAUUUGUGACUUAUCCUGAUGAUUGUAUACAGAUGGAAAUCAAAAGAAUCUAUAGGGAUUCCAGCAUAGUCUAAAGACCAGCAGCUCCCUAGGAAUUCCCUGGGACUCUAGCACCAGAUUGGGACAGCUGGGACAUCCAUUCUUGUGUACUGAAGAGCUACUGGACUCUUAGCCUUUCUAUCAGGAGACAGACACGGUUGGCCUACUCAGACUAGAGCCUAACCUACUUCUUCAGGACUAUGACAUGGACCAAAGACCAGCUGAGAUAUACAAGCCUUGUGGACUGAACAACUGCUGGAUUCUUGGUCUUUUGGUCAGGAGACAGCCAUUGUUGGAACAGCCCGACCACAGCCUACCAUCUGGAUCAGAGCUCUGGACAAAGUCCCCAAGGAAGGAUUGAAGAUGAAAAAGAAAAACAGAAACGAUGACGAGAAAGCGUCAAAAUCUGGGGUCGGGAGAGGUGUAAGGGCUGAGAUCAGCAAGUUCACAGCAGCACAGCUCUUUUUAUGCCUCUCAAAUGUGGGGACAGAAGAUGAGUUAAUAAAGAACACCAGACAGCAGGAUUACAGGGAGCUCAAUCAAGGUCACCUUUAGCAAGGUGCAUUCUGGGUAGGAACAGUUUCUGGCUAUUAUGAAUACAGCAUUAAUGAAUAUGGUUGAGCAAGUGUCCUUGUGGUAGAAUGGGAUUUAAAACCCAACUCGACUUUAAAUGGGGAUGAUGAGGAAAAAAGCUGUCCUCAGCUAGGUUUCUAAAAUGUAGUCUAUAAUGAGCCAAUAGUAAGUAUAUCAUGGUUUCUGGGCCACAGAAUCUCUGUAGCAGUUACUCAGCUUGGCUGUAAACUAAUGAACAUGGCUUGAUUAAUGGAGACAAACAAACCAAAAAAGGAAAUAAACUAAUUUAAAAAUAGGUCAUGGAAGAAAACAGAAAAUUCUCUCAAAAGAAAAAAAAAAGUGCUCAGCAUCCUUAGCCAUCAGGGAAAUGAAAACUAAAACUACCUUAAGAUUCCACCUCAACCCAGUUAGAAUGGCCAUCACCAGGACUACAGGUAACAAUGCAAACUAACAUGGACUUGGGAGAAGGGAGACUUUUAUACACCGUUGGUGGAAGUGUAAACUACUGUAGCCAGUUUGAAGCUCAGUCUGGAAGUUUCUAAAACAAUAAUUGACAAGCUCCAACGAACUAGAAAUAGAACUGCCAUAGGACCCAUCUGUAUUAUUGCUGUGCAUGUACCCAUUGGACUUCAUGUUCUACUACAGAGACACCUGCACAUUCAUGCUCUUUGCUGCUUUGUUCACAAUAGCUAGGAAAUGGAAUCCACCUACAAGCCCACCAACAGAUGAGUGGGUAAGAAAGAGAUUCAUACACAUUGUAUGCACAUUCAUACAAUGAAAUAUUACUCAGCUGUAAAGAAAAAUAAAGCACAAAAUUUGCAGGUAAAUAGGUGGAACUAGAAAAAGUCAUACUGAGGUAACUAGUAGGAGGCCAGGGGGCGGUGAGAUUGGGGGAGCUGGCCUGGAGCAAGAGUGAGGUCGAGGCAUGUCCGCACCCUGAAAAUCAUCUCAUCUUGAGACUGUAAGAGUAGGACUGUUCCCUCCCUGCCCUGGGCCUGCAUGUUCUGGUGCACAUAACAUUACAGGCCCCGCCUCCCCCACCCAUGAGAUAGUGACAAAGCCUGGUGGCCAGGGUAGAGGUUAAACUUCCUCUAUCCUUACAAGGUCAUGUCCAGCAAGCACCUGGAAUUCCUCUUCAUGCAAAUAAGGCAUUCCCAGCACCUUGGCCCUGGCCAAUGAUGGACACUUACCCCGAAAGCCUCUACGCACUCCCCAAGGUAUUAAAUAGCCUUUGUCCCCCCACCCCCAGUUAAAUGAGCUGUCUCACUGAAGCUGUCUCCUGAGGAGGUUGUUCUUGAGCACCCACCGCAGGCCUACACUCUGCAUGGCACCCACCUGCUAUGGCUAAGCUUCCUGCCCUCUGGUCCAGCUUGGUCCAGCCUGGAAACCCCGAGAGGAGAGGCAAAUACCGGGGCGGCAAUUAGGGCCCAGGAAGAUAAAUAUUGUGUGUUGUUUCUUGUGCGGAUCCCAGCUUCAAACCUUUUGUUUUGUGUAUUUAACUUGGAGCCGGGGAAUUCGAAAGAGGUCUUUUGUGUGUGUGUGUGUGUGUGUGUGUGUGUGUGUGUGUGUGUGUGGGCACAUUAACAGAGGGAGGAUAUUAGAUUAUAUGUAAAGUAAAAGUAGUGAGGUGGAAUACUGGGAGUGUAAAGGCUUAAGCAGGGAGGAGGGUAGGAGUAAGAAGGAAAUCAAGGAGUAAGGGAGGGGGGUAACCCAAAGGAGGGGGGAUGAAAACCCACAUGGAAGCUUACAACCUCACAACUAACUUAAAAACAAACCAACAGAAGAACAGGAGGGAAUGCUGAGAGUUAAAGGAUCAGGCGGGGCUGGGCAGGGGGUGAGGGAGUGUAGUGCAGAGGGGAUGUGUUAGCCAAAGCUAAGGGUGCGUGGAACAGCCCUACGGAAACCCACCAGUUAGGAAGCUAAUUUGAAAACAGAGCUUGAGAGAGGAAAAGCCUGAAUGGAAGUACUUUGUGAAAGUGAACAGCGUCCCUCCCAAAAGACGUGGGUUUUUAAAUGGAAAUUUCAACACAAGGCACAGUGUACCUCCCCCUGGGAGUUCUUGGUCAGAGAGGUCCUGGACGUCUUCAGAACAGCGAAAGCCGCUGUCAUUGCCCUGUUUACCCACCGUAACCCGCCAGAGAGCCUGCUCGGAAAGACACAUACUUUGGCCGAAGGACGCAGAAAUAUCAGUCUCAAAAAGACCGGGAAAUGUCCUCUCGUGUGGCUAGCUUCUAUAGUAGCGGAGCGUGCUCUGCAGGAUUCUGGGAAAGAAAACCAUCAGUGGUCUGACCCAGGGCUGAACUCCGCACGCUGCAAUGCUGAACUGCCAAGGAAGCUGUGUCUACUGAUGUAACAGUGGCACAACUGUUAGGGGUGUGCAGCAGUCAAUGGAGAGAUACAUUGCUGGUCAGAGUCCUGAGAACAAGAGAUUGAAAACUCAGCUCUAAAUGGGGUUAUCCGUGUAACACCGCCACCACCAAGACUCAGGGACCAUUGCAGGAGACUGUCAGAGUGGGAGGAGUACUGCAAACUGCUGCCUUCUGAACAGACACGGCUGCCAGAAUCAUGAACUCACAGCAUUGUGGUUACCUGCGCAAGACCUACAUAAGAGCAAGCCAGCUUGGUGCAGGCCGGGUAGAUGACUUGUGGGCUUCAACCCACGCUGAGGAUCUAUUGAAAGCGAAUGGUGGUUGGGGAGAGGAAAAUAAUUCUGGGCAUCGCUAACUGAAUUAGUGGGUCACGAAGAAAAGACAUGAAGUUGGGAAGGGAUAGGAUGGGGAGAUAUGAAGGGAGUUGGAGGGGGUAUAUGGAGAAUAGGUGUGAUUCACAUUUCAUUGUAGAGAUGUAUCAGAUCCUCAAAAAUAAGCUUUAACUAACGUAAUACCUGCAUGGGUACUUAUGGGUACAGUUUGAGACUUUCACACACCUGUAUACAAUAUUUUUAUAGUGUAUGUUUUUUUAUUUAUUUUUUAUAUUAAUCACAGGUUAUUAACUUUGUAUUCCAGUCAUAGCCCCCUCUCUUAUUCCCUCCCAAUCCCACCCUCCUUCUCUCGUCUUCUCCCUGCCCCUUUCCAAGCCCACUAACAGGGGAGGACCUCCUCCCCUGCCAUCUGACCCUAGCUUUGUAUACAAUAUUUAAUCAAAUUAGGGUAAUUGAAAUGAUAAAUAUUUUUUCAAGUAUUUUUCAGAUAUUUAUCAUUUCUCUGUGUUGGGAGGUUUAAACUUACAUUUAUUUAUUUAUUUAUUUAUUUAUUUAUUUAUGUGUGGGCAUGUGUCUGCUACGUCAUGUUUGUGGAAGUCAGAGACAACCUUUUGGAGUCAGUUCUCUCCUUUCACGGCGUGAGCUCCAUGGACUGAACUCCAGUCAGGCUUGACCGCAAACCCUUUCACCAGCUGAGCCACCUCAUCAGCCUGACUUCUAGAAACAGUCUCUCAUCUGUGCCUGAUGGCUGGACUGCCUCUGCUUAUGAUGCCAUGAGACCACAGGAUCCAGGGACAGUUGCCUAGACAGGGCCUCUCUCUUACAUAGUUCUGGCUGUCCUGCAACUUGCUUUAUAGACCAACCUGACAUCAAACUCACAGAGAGCCGCCUUUCUCUGUCUCCUGAGUGUUGGGAUUAAAGGCAUGAACCACCAUUCUCCAAAAAUUGACUCUUAGUGACUUAUCUUUAUACCCACGUAUCUCUCAAGCCUCAUCAGAGAAUCUUCUUCUUUUAGCAGACAGAGAUUUGCACAGAGACCCACAACUGGUCAAGGUGAAGAGAAUGCUCAACCCGACAUGGGACAUCUCUAUCACACCUCCUCAUCCCAAGGCUCAGGGUCACACCAGAAGAGGAUGCUGAAGAUGUUUAAGAACCAGGUUUUGGAUGACUACCAUGGAACCAUGUUUUCCAGACACUGCAGGACAGUUGUACACAGAACACGCAGCUAUUGUGAUAGGGUGCACAGAUCUGCACCAGCGCAAGUCAGACCAACUCCCAAUGCAGAGAGAGGUGGUCAUGAAGAUCCACCCUGAGUGAGGAGCUAUUGGUAGUUGAUGCCUUCCGGGAGAGGAGGAGUCAGUUUUCAUUCACGAGUGUAGUCUUCGGUAGGCCAACCAUGCUCCAGUGGAAGGCCAGACACCCCCGAGUAUAUGAGAGCACACAUUGGGCCUGACAGAUUUAAAAAAA